UGCACGCGCCCUGCGAUGGGAGUGUGUCCUAUUCAGGGCUGGUUCCCGCCUUGCGCCCUAAGCUUUGGAGAUAGGCUUCGGCCACCCUCAACCCUGAACUGGAAUAAGCAGAAAACCACAUCUGGUCAGGAGCCCAGUGUGUCCCACUUGGACAAGAAUAGAAAUCUCUCUUCUGGAAUAUGAUCUUCUCUGGUUGGAGCCAAUGGUUUCUUUCAGACCUGAGAUAUCCUGAUGAAGCAGACCACACCUGCCCUCAGAGAUGACCUCAUGAGGAAGCUGAGCUGCAUAACAAACAUCUCUGCUGCUCAGCCACCUCCACUCUUUUUCAACAGACCUUGGAGAUAGCACAGCACCCACACCAAAAAAUCAGGAAGCUCUCUUAUCAGCAAUCUUUCUGUACCUAUGAAAUCAGACAUUCCAGCCAUGGCAGAACCUCCUGAGUGGGCCAGAGCCUCAGAGUCAGGAAAAGCUGGGGCCUAAUGAUGUUUCAAAUCAAAUCACUCUGUAGGGGAUUUUCCAUUUAACAUAUUGUGAUUGUGCAGUAACAUUAGUCUUUGCCAUUUAAUUUAUUAAAUUUUA
rnacentral:lncRNA from 1 species